AUACGGAAGGUCCGGGCGUUAUCCGGAUUUAUUGGGUUUAAAGGGAGCGCAGGCGGAGAUGCAAGCGUGACGUCAAAUUUCGGGGCUCAACCCCGUCUCGCGUCGCGAACUGCGUCCCUUGGUUGCGGGAAGGGGAGGCGGAACUCGUGGUGUAGCGGUGAAAUGCAUAGAUAUCACGAAGAACUCCGAUCGCGAAGGCAGCCUUCCGGCCCGUCAACGACGCUCAUGCUCGAAGGUGCGGGUAUCAAACAGGAUUAGAUACCCUGGUAGUCCGCACAGUAAACGAUGGACACCCGCGGUUUGGCCUGUAUGGCUGAGCCGCCAAGCGAAAGCGUUAAGUGUCCCACCUGGGGAGUGCGCCGGCAACGGUGAAACUCAAAUGAAUUGACGGGG
rnacentral:rRNA from 1 species